GGGAGGGGCGGAGGGGCAGAUUUAUAGGGGGCCAGAGUCUGAGCCCGUGUUUAUACGCUUGCCUGUCAGACAAGAUAUCAUCUGCGAUAGAAUGCGCACCGGCGCAUCGCCGCUUCCCACCCCCCAAUCCGCUGGCGAGGAAGCGCACGGCCAUCCUGAGAUGAUGGAUUUCAGGUGACGCCGGGGGAGGAAGCCGAACAUCAGUAAACGUUUCGGCACAUCUAUCUCUCGGCUGUUUGCUGACAAUUCCCAGAAACGUUGUAUUCGCUCAAAUAAAUACAGGAAACCGAGCUAUACUGUAACAAAAUUGUCGCUCUGAGAGUUCCUGCCUUUGCUGUGGAGUUCCCCAGGGUGCUAUCCUUUCGCCCCUGUUAUUUAACAUCUACGUCCGACCACUUGCUGGACUAGUGCGGAGCUUUGGCCUAGAGUGCUACCAGUAUGCAGAUGAUACCCAGCUACUCCUGCGUCUCGAACCUGGGACAACCACGAUUCCUGAGAACUUUAAGCUGUGUUUGGAAGCAGUGAUGAGUUGGCUGUGAGCAAGUAGACUAAAAGUGAAUCCCGCGAAAACUGAUAUACUCUGGCCUGGCCAGCCACCAGAGUUAACCCAGUCACUGCCUGAUUUCGAUGGGGAAGUUCUGGUUCCAUCUGCUACUGUUAAAAGCCUUGGGGUUGUGUUGGACUCAUCGCUGACGAUGGAGGCCCAGAUCACUGCCACAAGUAAGCAGGCCUUUUUUCAUCUUCCCCAGGCAAGGAAAUUGGCAUCCUACCUCUCGACAGAAGCAUUGGCAAUGGUAAUCCAUGCAACAGUCACCACUAGGCUGGAUUAUUGUAACGCCUUAUAUGCCGGCCUUCUGAAGUCAAAAACCCAGAAGAUCCGAAUGGUCCAAAAUGCGGCGGCCAGGCUGCUAGCGGGAUCAUCUAUAAGAUCCCAUAUUACACCGAUUCUGAAACAACUGCAUUGGCUACCAAUAGAACAUCGGAUCUCUUACAAGAUACUGAUCCUGACAUUUAGAGCUCGAAAUGGCCAAGGACCAUUAUAUCUUAGGGACCGCCUCAUUCCUUUUCCCCAUCUGUGGUCACCUCGAUCCUCCCAAGAAAAUCUCCUAUAUGUACCGGGCCCAAGGGAGGUACGCCUGGAAGCCACAAGGCGUAGAGCCUUUUCGACCUAUGCUCCAAUUCUGUGGAACUCAUUGCCUCCAUAUGUUAGAGCAAUGUCGGAGUUGUGACCUUUUGGAAAAACGCUUGUUGUCGACCGCGCUUUAGGGGAUCGGGCCCUUAAGGAGAGUCCCGAUCCGGUCCUGAGAGAACGGACCUUGGCGGAGCCAAUAGGAAAAUAUGAGCCGCAAUACAACCUGAAGCCGAAAUGAAGAAGGUCCGCCAAAGUUGAAGGAAAAUCCGCCAAGGAGUCUUUAUUGAGCGAUUCAGCUGAAAAGGACUCUAGUAGUGAUCAUUCAGUCUACUAGGGUACCACAUAAUCAAAAUAAAGCCAUAUUUAUACAAAA